UCGGUGACUCGUGCCAACGGUAUCUCGCGUGUGCGUUUUUGCGUCUUAAAGAUCCUAAGGAUGAGGUCAACAACAUCCUCGCGUCAGUGACAAACCACGGACGGCGCGGACGUGCGUGUCUCGCGCGCCCCGCAAAAUGACCGACAAUAACGGGCAAACUCGCGAGCCGGGUUGUUUGCGCAAAUAAACCGAGCGAAAAGCGUUCAUAGGUAGUCCCAGGAAAUAAGAAAAAUAUUUAAAAAAAUCUGAAGCAUAUGUUGAGCAUUGCCUUUGUGUCUUUUGGAUUGUAUAUUUCGUUCUAAGCAAGAAUUUGGUCUUCCACGUUUAGAUAUGCCUUUGAUCUCGACAAAGAGGAAAAAUAAAUAUGUUGCAAAUUUGCAACACUAUGCAUUUAAGGGUUAAGUCAAUGUCACUGGAAUAUAGUUCUUUUUCUUCUUUCAGUGAGAUAUAUUCAAACAGACGCGUGGAAAUAAUAAGAUUAAAGGCUCGAGUAUUUUUUAGUUAUCCAUAAAUGGAUAGAAAUAGAGAAAUUUCAGAAGUAUCGAUGCGACUUCAAUUUCCUUUCGAAAAAGCGCUAAGAUACUUGUUCGAAUAUAAUUUCUGGUGUCUUAAUUGAAGCGCCGGUCGCAUUGCGAAACGAUGAGAAAGGGAACGGAAGCAGCUUGUAAAGCUGCGGAUCCAAUUUUGCGGAUCAAAAAUUUGCUGGGUUUUUCGCAUCCUCUCUGAAUCCAUUAAAUUAAGGAGAACGCAACAUCGAA